CUCAGUUUUUCCCAAGUGUCAGCACUUCUGAACUGUCGACUUCAUCUGCUGCCCUGUGACGCCUCCAAGAGAAUUAACCCAACAAUAGUGUGAUUUCAUCAUUUUCAUUUUUUCCCAUUUUCUUUAUAGAAACAAAUUAGAAUAUUCAAAUACAUAACAUGAACGGUGAAUCUUACCCGAUGCAAGACAAAUCUCGGCAAGUACAGGGCGGCCAUAUGCCUUCAGCACCACCGAAUUACGUGGCGAAUGUACACCAACCAACGGGAGGAAUUAUACAAGCGCACGUGAUACCGUACAACAACGUGCAUGUCCAGCAGCCGAGUGGCCACACAGUUAUUGUUGUAGUAAGUACAAUAGACAAUUCCCAUUAUAGACUAAUUUUAAAACUAGGCAAGGAGAUGCAAAUAAAUCCGGCACCACAGCUAGAAAGAGCAUACUAAAAUGAGUAAAUUUAGUACCAUUUUCGAAUAAAGUACCAUUUUCGGCCCAAUUGUGGUAGCAAUUUCCGCAUGCACGCUAUAUAAUACAAAAGUAUAAAAAAUUUGAAAACUUUGCAAGGCUAUAUUAUCCACAUUUUUCAACAUUUCGCAGUCAAACAUUGCAAUUUUACUCAUUUUAUUACGCUCUUUCUAGCUGUGGUGGUUUAUUUGCAGAAUAUUGCAGUUAUAGUUUUUUCAAUUAAAAGGGCUGAAAUGCGCCUUAAAAACCAUCAAUCAAAAGCUUUUUGCGUUUCUCCAAAUUGGUGAAUACUAACCGUAACCAUGCACGAAAUGUUUUUUUCACAAAAUAAUUUAAAUUUAUGUUGCUUUGCAGCCCUCACAAGCAAUAGCUGGAAAUGAUAUCAGCGACUAUAUGGUUCUAUCAAUUUUUUCCUGUUUCUGUUGCUUUUGGCCUGUUGGAAUCUUCGCAAUUAUGAUGUCAUGCAUGGU